GACGAACGCUGGCGGUGCGCCUUAUGCAUGCAAGUCGAGCGAAGCUUUUCAGUAGUUUACUACAGAAAAUGACUGAGCGGCGAACGGGUGAGUAACGCGUGAGCAACCUACCUUAGUUACAGGGAUAGCCCGAGGAAACUCGGAUUAAUACCUGAUAUUCUUUAAAUUUCGCAUGAAAUUAAAAGGAAAGGUCAGCCGAACUAAGAUGAGCUCGCGUUCUAUCAGCUAGUUGGUGAGGUAAAAGCUCACCAAGGCUACGACGGAUAGCUGGUCUGAGAGGACGAUCAGCCACACUGGGACUGAGACACGGCCCAGACUCCUACGGGAGGCUGCAGCAGGGAAUAUUGCGCAAUGAGCGAAAGCUUGACGCAGCGACACCGCGUGUGGGAUGACGGAUCUAGGUUUGUAAACCACUUUCAGGAGGGAAGAAAAUGACGGUACCUCCACAAGAAGCCCCGGCCAACUACGUG
rnacentral:rRNA from 1 species